rnacentral:tRNA from 1 species
GGCGAGAUAGCUCAAUUGGAUUAGAGCAGUUGUCUACGAAGCAUCAGGUUAUGGGUCCGAGUCCCAUUCUCGUCA